AUUAAUACCGCAUACGCCCUGAGGGGGAAAGUGGGGGACCGUAAGGCCUCACGUUAUACGAGCAGCCGAUGUCUGAUUAGCUAGUUGGUGGGGUAAAGGCCUACCAAGGCGACGAUCCAUAGCUGGUCUGAGAGGAUGAUCAGCCACACUGGGACUGAGGCACGGCCCAGACUCCUACGGGAGGCAGCAGUGGGGAAUAUUGGACAAUGGGCGCAAGCCUGAUCCAGCCAUGCCGCGUGAGUGAUGAAGGCCCUAGGGUUGUAAAGCUCUUUCACCGGUGAAGAUAAUGACGGUAACCGGAGAAGAAGCCCCGGCUAACUUCGUGCCAGCAGCCGCGGUAAUACGAAGGGGGCUAGCGUUGUUCGGAUUUACUGGGCGUAAAGCGCACGUAGGCGGGCUAAUAAGUCAGGGGUGAAAUCCCGGGGCUCAACCCCGGAACUGCCUUUGAUACUGUUAGUCUUGAGUAUGGUAGAGGUGAGUGGAAUUCCGAGUGUAGAGGUGAAAUU
rnacentral:rRNA from 1 species